rnacentral:rRNA from 1 species
UUGCCUACGGGGGGCAGCAGUGGGGAAUAUUGCACAAUGGGGGAAACCCUGAUGCAGCAACGCCGCGUGAAGGAAGACGGUUUUCGGAUUGUAAACUUCUGUUCUUAGUGAAGAAAAAUGACGGUAGCUAAGGAGCAAGCCACGGCUAACUACGUGCCAGCAGCCGCGGUAAUACGUAGGGGGCAAGCGUUAUCCGGAUUUACUGGGUGUAAAGGGAGCGUAGACGGCAGCGCACGGCUGGAGUGAAAUGCCGGGGCCCAACCCCGGAACUGCUUUGGAAACUGUGCAGCUCGAGUGCAGGAGGG